rnacentral:rRNA from 1 species
GGGUGAGUAACACGUAUGGAACCUGCCCGUAGCAGGGGGAUAAGCGGAAGAAAUUCCGUCUAAUACCGCGUAAUAACUCCGAGGGGCAUCUCUUGGGGUUUAAAGGGUAACACCGGCUACGGAUGGCCAUGCGGCGCAUUAGCUAGUUGGCGGGGUAACGGCCCACCAAGGCGACGAUGCGUAGGGGUUCUGAGAGGAAGGUCCCCCACACUGGUACUGAGACACGGACCAGACUCCUACGGGAGGCAGCAGUGAGGAAUAUUGGUCAAUGGGCGCGAGCCUGAACCAGCCAAGUCGCGUGAGGGAAGACGGUCCUAUGGAUUGUAAACCUCUUUUGUCGGGGAGCAAAAGACGCCACGCGUGGCGUUCCGAGAGUACCCGAAGAAAAAGCAUCGGCUAACUCCGUGCCAGCAGCCGCGGUAAUACGGAGGAUGCGAGCGUUAUCCAGAUUUAUUGGGUUUAAAGGGUGCGCAGGCGGAAGAUCAAGUCAGCGGUAAAAUUGAGAGGCUCAACCUCUUCGAGCCGUUGAAACUGGUUUUCUUGAGUGAGCGAGAAGUAUGCGGAAUGCGUGGUGUAGCGGUGAAAUGCAUAGAUAUCACGCAGAACUCCGAUUGCGAAGGCAGCAUACCGGCGCUCAACUGACGCUCAUGCACGAAAGUGUGGGUAUCGAACAGGAUUAGAUACCCUGGUAGUCCACACAGUAA